CCUAGUCGCCUCCCUUUCUCCCUGUCUCUCUCGUCUCUAGACUAGAAGCAGCUAUGGUGGAGAAGCAAACCGGCUCAGGGGUCUCGGGAGGUUGCCGUCCUCGCAGCUGUUGCCAAGGAGAGACAUAAGCCUUAAAGGAACUAACGUCCGUGGAAGCAAGCCCGUCCUUUGGCCCAUUCAGCUGCAGCUCGCGUCCAUCUCUUCUCCACGCCACCUUCCGCUCGUGGUCCUGGAUUACGACUCCUCCAUACUCCUCGCCUCCUAGACGCCCCGCCAUGACCUAAAGACCUGCAACAGC